GGCGGACGGGUGAGUAAUGCUUGGGAACUUGCCUUUGCGAGGGGGAUAACAGUUGGAAACGACUGCUAAUACCGCAUAAUGUCUACGGACCAAACGGGGCUUAGGCUCCGGCGCAGAGAGAGGCCCAAGUGAGAUUAGCUAGUUGGUAAGGUAAAGGCUUACCAAGGCGACGAUCUCUAGCUGUUCUGAGAGGAAGAUCAGCCACACUGGGACUGAGACACGGCCCAGACUCCUACGGGAGGCAGCAGUGGGGAAUAUUGCACAAUGGGGGAAACCCUGAUGCAGCCAUGCCGCGUGUGUGAAGAAGGCCUUCGGGUUGUAAAGCACUUUCAGUUGUGAGGAAAAGUUAGUAGUUAAUACCUGCUAGCCGUGACGUUAACAACAGAAGAAGCACCGGCUAACUCCGUGCCAGCAGCCGCGGUAAUACGGAGGGUGCGAGCGUUAAUCGGAAUUACUGGGCGUAAAGCGCACGCAGGCGGUUUGUUAAGCUAGAUGUGAAAGCCCCGGGCUCAACCUGGGAUGGUCAUUUAGAACUGGCAGACUAGAGUCUUGGAGAGGGGGAGUGGAAUUCCAGGUGUAGCGGUGAAAUGCGUAGAUAUCUGGAGGAACAUCAGUGGCGAAGGCG
rnacentral:rRNA from 1 species